rnacentral:rRNA from 1 species
AGCGUACACGGUGGAUGCCUAGGCAGUCAGAGGCGAUGAAGGGCGUGCUAAUCUGCGAAAAGCGUCGGUAAGGUGAUAUGAACCGUUAUACCCGACGAUACCCGAAUGGGGAAACCCAGUGUGUUUCGACACAUUAUCAUUACAUGAAUACAUAGUGUAAUGAGGCGAACCGGGGGAACUGAAACAUCUAAGUACCCCGAGGAAAAGAAAUCAACCGAGAUUCCCCCAGUAGCGGCGAGCGAACGGGGAAGAGCCCAGAACCAGAAUCAGCGUAUGUGUUAGUGGAAGCGUCUGGAAAGUCGCACAGUAUAGGGUGAUAGUCCCGUACACAAAAAUGCAUAUGUUGUGAGUUCGAUGAGUAGGGCGGGACACGUGACAUCCUGUCUGAAUAUGGGGGGACCAUCCUCCAAGGCUAAAUACUCCUGACUGACCGAUAGUGAACCAGUACCGUGAGGGAAAGGCGAAAAGAACCCCGGCGAGGGGAGUGAAAUAGAACCUGAAACCGUGUACGUACAAGCAGUGGGAGCCUACUUUGUUGGGUGACUGCGUACCUUUUGUAUAAUGGGUCAGCGACUUAUAUUUUGUAGCAAGGUUAACCGAAUAGGGGAGCCGUAGGGAAACCGAGUCUUAACUGGGCGUCAAGUUGCAAGGUAUAGACCCGAAACCCGGUGAUCUAGCCAUGGGCAGGUUGAAGGUUGGGUAACACUAACUGGAGGACCGAACCGACUAAUGUUGAAAAAUUAGCGGAUGACUUGUGGCUGGGGGUGAAAGGCCAAUCAAACCGGGAGAUAGCUGGUUCUCCCCGAAAGCUAUUUAGGUAGCGCCUCGUGAACUCAUCUUCGGGGGUAGAGCACUGUUUCGACUAGGGGGCCAUCCCGGCUUACCAACUCGAUGCAAACUACGAAUACCGAAGAAUGUUAUCACGGGAGACACACGGCGGGUGCUAACGUCCGUCGUGAAGAGGGAAACAACCCAGACCGCCAGCUAAGGUCCCAAAGUCAUGGUUAAGUGGGAAACGAUGUGGGAAGGCAUAGACAGCCAGGAUGUUGGCUUAGAAGCAGCCAUCAUUUAAAGAAAGCGUAAUAGCUCACUGGUCGAGUCGGCCUGCGCGGAAGAUGUAACGGGGCUAAACCAUGCACCGAAGCUGCGGCAGCGACGCUUAUGCGUUGUUGGGUAGGGGAGCGUUCUGUAAGCCGUCGAAGGUGAACUGUGAGGUUUGCUGGAGGUAUCAGAAGUGCGAAUGCUGACAUAAGUAACGAUAAUGCGGGUGAAAAACCCGCACGCCGGAAGACCAAGGGUUCCUGUCCAACGUUAAUCGGGGCAGGGUGAGUCGACCCCUAAGGCGAGGCUGAAAAGCGUAGUCGAUGGGAAGCUGGUUAAUAUUCCAGCACUUGGUGUUACUGCGAAGGGGGGACGGAGAAGGCUAGGCUAGCCGGGCGACGGUUGUCCCGGUUCAAGCGUGUAGGGGGUGUGAUUUGGUAAAUCCGGUCGCAUAUCAACCCUGAGGCGUGAUAACGAGCCACUACGGUGGUGAAGUAGUUGAUGCCAAGCUUCCAGGAAAAGCCUCUAAGCUCCAGGUAACACGAAAUCGUACCCCAAACCGACACAGGUGGUCAGGUAGAGAAUACUCAGGCGCUUGAGAGAACUCGGGUGAAGGAACUAGGCAAAAUGGUGCCGUAACUUCGGGAGAAGGCACGCUGGCGCGUAGGUGAAGGGACUUGCUCCCGGAGCUGAAGCCAGUCGAAGAUACCAGCUGGCUGCAACUGUUUAAUAAAAACACAGCACUGUGCAAACACGAAAGUGGACGUAUACGGUGUGACGCCUGCCCGGUGCCGGAAGGUUAAUUGAUGGGGUUAUCCGCAAGGAGAAGCUCUUGAUCGAAGCCCCGGUAAACGGCGGCCGUAACUAUAACGGUCCUAAGGUAGCGAAAUUCCUUGUCGGGUAAGUUCCGACCUGCACGAAUGGCGUAAUGAUGGCCAGGCUGUCU